ACGUAGUUAUGCAUGUGCUUCAAGCCUACGCUCUGCAACAGCCCCGCGUGGUGGAGUUGGGCGUCUCCGCCGGUCCUUUCAGCACAUACCUGCUCAGCCAUGUCCCAGAGAUCAGCCUCUUGGGGGUCGACAGC
rnacentral:SRP_RNA from 1 species